rnacentral:lncRNA from 1 species
GGGAAAUGCAAAAUUCCUCUUUCUGCAAUAGAUAUCAACUAAAGAAAGCAUCUGGUUUGCAAGGCAAUAUGUGCCGGAGUGGGCAAGAGACAGCUGGGUUCUGAAAUGUGCUGGCUUUGCUUUGGAACCAGGACCACACUGUUAGGUGCAAAGAUAAGGAAUCUGCCAAGCAAGGAAGGCACAAGUUGUAAAGCUGCUUCAGUGUUACUGAAAAUCUCACUCGGAUCUUGUUGGCCUCUCUGGUUUCUGAAGCACUCUGUGCUGUCACCCAAAGGCAAGCAUGGCGGCCCAGCCCAGGAAUGGACGUGCUCUCUAGUUCUCCUCAGUCUAUCAGAAGGACCACCUCACAAUGCCCGUGUUAGAAGUGCUGCCAGUGAAUUUUGGGACCAGCCGAGGAGCUCCACAGCCAGUGAGCCAACGGGAUGUUACCAGCACAACGCUGCACAGCCUUUCACAGCUGCCAGGACAGAGGAAUGCCAAAACAAGGCCAGUGCCUCUGGGUGCAUUUCAAGGUGGGUGGAAGAAGACGCGCUUAACCAUAAACUCCAGAGUUCCCAUGAGCAACAAGGGUAAGUUCCUAUGCAUUUGUUUUUUUCUUUUCUGCCCCAGCAUGUGCUUAGCCUAUUUCACAAGACUCAGGCAUGUGAUUAGGUUUGCUCUACACGCAGGUAAGUCUCAGAAUGCCUAUGGAUACUAAAAUAAAAUAGAUUAUUAUCAUUUCCUUCUCCUGAAU